rnacentral:rRNA from 1 species
UCUGGUUGGAUUCUGCCAGUAGUCAUAUGCUUGUCUCAAAGAUUAAGCCAUGCAUGUCUAAGUUCAAGCCGUUCCGUACGGUGAAACCGCGAAAGGCUCAUUAAAUCAGUUAUGGUUCCUUAGAUCGUACCCUCGUUACAUGGAUAACUGUGGUAAUUCUAGAGCUAAUACAUGCCGAUAGAGUUCCGACCGACGUGUCGCCGGUAGCGGACGCCGCGUUGCGACGUCGGCUUCGGCGUUCGCGGUGUGGAAGGAACGCUUUUAUUAGAUCAAAACCGGCCAGGCGGCGGAGCGGGCGCUCGUCGGCCGUUCCGUCGCUAGCGGCCCGCGCAAAGACUUGGUGACUCUGAAUAACUUUCGCAGAUCGCACGGCCUUGCGCCGGCGACGGGUCUUUCAAAUGUCUGCCUUAUCAACUGUCGACGGUAGGUUCGACGCCUACCGUGGUGGUAACGGGUAACGGGGAAUCAGGGUUCGAUUCCGGAGAGGGGGCCUGAGAGACGGCCACCACUUCUAAGGAAGGCAGCAGGCGCGCAAAUUACCCACUCCCGGCACGGGGAGGUAGUGACGAAAAAUAACGAUACGGGACUCUUACGAGGCCCCGUAAUCGGAAUGAGUACACUUUAAAACCUUGGUCGCACGAGGAUCAAUUGGAGGGCAAGUCUGGUGCCGCCAGCCGCGG